rnacentral:lncRNA from 1 species
UAGCCUUAGGAAUCCCUCCACCCAGCCAGCCGUACAAUGAGCAGCUGAUUGCUGGGCAAUUUCACUCUCCAGUUGCUUGAGUUUCGGUGUCCCUCUGUUGCAUACUCUGCUCGUUUCUGUGUGUAUGGUGUUUGGCACUGCAGCCGGAAAGGGCAUCCAGGGAAUCGUUUGGCAUUUUCUCCCUUUUCCAUUCUGCAGCAUCUUGUCUCCGUUUUCCAAUUCAAUUCGAUUCGUUUUCGUUUGCUUGUGCUUGUGCUUGUGCUGUAAUGAUAAAGAUUUAUUUUCGAGCAACAAUUGUUUGGGCAUUAAAAGUGCGCUCCGCUUCGGUCCACCCAGCCCUCGUGGGUCCUGCAAUUGAUAGCUUGGGUCUGUGACACGUUCGCCGCUGUCGCCGUCGCUGUCGCCGUCGCUGUC